rnacentral:rRNA from 1 species
ACUCCUACGGGAGGCAGCAGUGGGGAAUAUUGCACAAUGGGCGCAAGCCUGAUGCAGCCAUGCCGCGUGUAUGAAGAAGGCCUUCGGGUUGUAAAGUACUUUCAGCAGUGAGGAAGGUGUUGUCGUUAAUAGCGGCAUCAUUUGACGUUAGCUGCAGAAGAAGCACCGGCUAACUCCGUGCCAGCAGCCGCGGUAAUACGGAGGGUGCGAGCGUUAAUCGGAAUUACUGGGCGUAAAGCGCAUGCAGGUGGUUUGUUAAGUCAGAUGUGAAAGCCCGGGGUCUCAACCUCGGAAUUGCAUUUGAAACUGGCAGACUAGAGUACUGUAGAGGGGGGUAGAAUUUCAGGUGUAGCGGUGAAAAUGCGUAGAGAUCUGAAGGAAUAACCGGUGGCGAAGGCGGCCCCCUGGACAGAUACUGACACUCAGA